rnacentral:rRNA from 1 species
UACGAAGGGGGCUAGCGUUGCUCGGAAUCACUGGGCGUAAAGCGCACGUAGGCGGCCUCUUAAGUCAGGGGUGAAAUCCUGGAGCUCAACUCCAGAACUGCCUUUGAUACUGGGAGUCUUGAGUUCGGGAGAGGUGAGUGGAACUGCGAGUGUAGAGGUGAAAUUCGUAGAUAUUCGCAAGAACACCAGUGGCGAAGGCGGCUCACUGGCCCGAUACUGACGCUGAGGCACGAAAGCGUGGGGAGCAAACAGG